AGUGAACGCUGGCGGUCGGCCUAACACAUGCAAGUCGAACGGAGUGGCGGACGGGUGAGGAAUACAUCGGAAUCUACUCUGUCGUGGGGGAUAACGACCGGAAACGGGCGCUAAUACCGCAUACUAUCAUAUGCGCCUAGGUCGGAUUACCUAGUUGGUGGGGUAAAGGCCUACCAAGGCGACAAUCCGUAACUGGUCUGAGAGGAUGAUCAGUCACACUGGAACUGAGACACGGUCCAGACGCCUACGGGAGGCAGCAGUGGGGAAUAUUGGACAAUGGGCGAAAGCCUGAUCCAGCCAUGCCGCGUGUGUGAAGAAGGUCUUCGGAUUGUAAAGCACUUUAAGUUGGGAGGCGUUACCAACAGAAGAAGCACCGGCUAACUCCGUGCCAGCAGCCGCGGUAAUAC
rnacentral:rRNA from 1 species